AUUUUAAUAAAUCACCUUACUUACUACAUUGCAAAUUUAGGAAACACAGAUCAGACGUUAAAUCAACUGGCCAAACAAAAAAAAUGGUCUUUAAUAACAUAAUGGCACAAUAGUACAAUGUUAUAUACCGCUGUCUCCAGGAACCCACAAUUCUAUAACACAUGAGUACAUUUCAAAGCACCAACCAUUGAAAUUCAUCAUCCAAGCAUUUUUCACAUAGCAACACAAUCCUCGAAACAUAAGAUUAUAUUUGCAGUAAAACACACUUAACAAGACAUCAUUAGCUUGGAGAUGAAGAAAGAGGUCGGCCUCUUCCCAUAGCAAAUCCUCUGGUUCCAUCGGGCAUUCUUGGACCAGGAGGAGGUUUUGAGGGUUCAACCAAAUGAGUGGACGAAGUAGUUCCAUGGCCAUGUCCAUUUGUGCCACGCUUGUUUCUCCUUCCACGGCCUCGAUUUCUGGUUGGCACCCUGGGCCCAUUUUUCUCCUUUUGUGCAUGCUCACCAAUGGUCUCCUUUGAUAGAUGGUCACCCUCCUCUUCGUCUUGUGAAUCAACACGAUGCUCACUUGAAUUGUGUUCCUCAUUAACUGCCGGAUCAGAUGCUUGGAUAUUGUUAUUCCUAUCAGAAUCUGGAUCUCUCCAACCUUUCUUGCUUUGGCCAGGCUUGUUUAUUUUCUUGAGAAGCUUGACUCGCAAGCCAAAUCUCCAAUCCUGUUCAUCAUUCAAAAUGGUCACAGCUUUUUCAGCAGCUUCCACUGUGUUAUAUUCCACGAGAGCAUGCAACUUACCACUGAGCAGCUUCUCUGCAGUUGUGCAUUUUCUGGGAUCUCUUUCAGUGUGUGGAUCACGAAUGGUAAUAUGCUUCACAUUUCCAGCCUGGCCAAAUAUGCUCCGAAGGUUGUUCACUGAAUGAUCCUCAGGUAAAUUUUCCACCAAUACAGUACAAACCUUGGGAUCUUUAAUCUCACUUAAUGGAAGAGGAUGAAGUCGCUUCACCUUUCUCCCAUCACGGCUUACAACAAGCAGAGAAGAUUCCCUAAGUGCAGCUGCUAUUAUUGAUGUCUCCUUCGUAAGCUUCUUCACUUUUCUGAAAGAGGCAAUUACUUUCACAGGGACAAAUCCUUCCUUGUCUCUGGUCACAUACUUCAACAGAAACUUGUCAGUAGGCAAAUUUUCAUCGCUGAAGUAAUACUCAACCUGCUUAACGAUCUUGCUACGAAGAUCAUCGGUGAGUACAGUGGCGGUGACUUGGGCAUGGAGUUGAUCAGACGGCUCAGAAAGAUCGUUAAUAAAGUGAGACUCCGGCGAUCCAACAGGUGAAAAAUCUGGAUGAUCAUCAUCAUCAUGAGGAGGAAAUGAAGCGGUCUGAGAAGGUAUAGGGAGUACUCCUCCACCGUCUGCUUCCAUUUUUAUUGUUUUAAAGGAGAGGGAGGAGAGAAGAUAUGGAAAACUGAAAGGUCAAAGAAAAAAAAUCAUCAUUUUUCCCCCAUUUUUUCCCCUUCUUCUUCCUCCUUCU
rnacentral:misc_RNA from 1 species